rnacentral:rRNA from 1 species
GUCGAGCGGUAGCACAGAGAGCUUGCUCUCGGGUGACGAGCGGCGGACGGGUGAGUAAUGUCUGGGAAACUGCCUGAUGGAGGGGGAUAACUACUGGAAACGGUAGCUAAUACCGCAUAAUGUCGCAAGACCAAAGUGGGGGACCUUCGGGCCUCAUGCCAUCAGAUGUGCCCAGAUGGGAUUAGCUAGUAGGUGGGGUAAUGGCUCACCUAGGCGACGAUCCCUAGCUGGUCUGAGAGGAUGACCAGCCACACUGGAACUGAGACACGGUCCAGACUCCUACGGGAGGCAGCAGUGGGGAAUAUUGCACAAUGGGCGCAAGCCUGAUGCAGCCAUGCCGCGUGUGUGAAGAAGGCCUUCGGGUUGUAAAGCACUUUCAGCGGGGAGGAAGGCGUUAAGGUUAAUAACCUUGGCGAUUGACGUUACCCGCAGAAGAAGCACCGGCUAACUCCGUGCCAGCAGCCGCGGUAAUACGGAGGGUGCAAGCGUUAAUCGGAAUUACU